rnacentral:rRNA from 1 species
UACGUAGGGUGCAAGCGUUGUUCGGAAUUAUUGGGCGUAAAGCGCGUGUAGGUUGUUAUGUAAGUCGGAUGUGAAAUCCCUGGGCUCAACCGAGGAAGUGCAUCCGAAACUAUAUAGCUAGAGGAUGGUAGAGGAAGGUGGAAUUCCAAAAGUAGAGGUGAAAUUCGUAGAUAUUUGGAGGAAUACCGGCGGCGAAGGCGGCCUUCUGGGCCAUUCCUGACACUGAGACGCGAAAGCGUGGGUAGCAAACAGG